rnacentral:lncRNA from 10 species
CUCAACUCUCAAGAGAAAAUGAAACUUCGAAGAUCACUUACACACAAGCAAAUUAACCUGGUAUUUUGGAGCUGCAGCCUAUGCUUCCUCCUGCCCAAUCACUGUGGACUGUUCUCUGAACUUCAUAAAGAAGCCCCACAAGAGAAGGAGAAAAUCGUGAUGCCUCCAAACACCAGCCCAGAUGGUCACAGGGCCUGAGACCACUGAGUGCUUUUACAAGAAUUACAGCACUGUACAACCAGCAUUGUCUCAUUCACCAUCUUAUCCAUGCCCCCCGAACCAAGACAGGACUUUCUCAAAGUGGGUUUCAGAACUCUAAUCCCCUGAAAUGUUCCUCAGAAAAAUUUCCCAAGGUCCAACAAGUUUGAGAAGUGUUCUGUACUGUGUUCUCCCUCCACUCUUUGACAUUCACAGGCAGUUUAGCAAAUUCAAAGCACUGAAAAUUCCUACAAUAAGAUAGCUCUUUUGACUUUGUUCAGCUCAGAGAAUCUUAAGUGUAUCUUAUCAUAGAGCUUUAUUGAUUUAUUGAUUUAUUGAUUUAUUUAUUUAUUUUUGAGAGGGAGUUUUGCUCCUGUUGCCCAGGGCUGGAGUGUAAUGGCAUGAUCUUGGCUCAACACAACCUCCACCUCCAGGGUUCAAGCAAUUCUCCUGCCUCAGCCUCUGGAGUACCUGGGAUUACAGGCAUGCGCCACCAUGCCCUGACAUAAUAUCUAUGAAGACCUUGUGAAGUGAGCAUUCUACUGAAUAUAGAAAAUGCUGGCCCCCAUCACUGUCUGGUUCAAAUGAGAGCUCGCGACACCCCGGUUUUGAAUGUGUCUCCUGGGAUUGAUAUUUGGUGCCAUUUAUUGACGAGGCAGAAGGAGGGUGAGAGCCUUUUUAGGACUGCUGAAAGAGAGCCUGCUGAUCCUGACAAGAUCAAAAUGACCCUUGAAACCGUUUGAUAAUGGGCUGAACUCAGAGCACUUUGUUGCUCUCUCUACAUGGUGCCUUUCUGUUGCAAUGUAAGCGGCAGGAAAAGAAAGGGGAUCUGCACAAAAUCCACCCAGAAGCGGAAGUGUGCCUCUUCCCAAGCUUGAACUUCUUCAGUGAGAAAUUCUCCAUGUCCUACACAACAUUUCGAGGAACACUGCUUCCUUUAUCUCAGCCCCCGAGGAGCACCUCGAGCCUUUUCUCUCAGCGGGGAACAACCUGCCAGAAUAAUGGAAUGGAGAGUAGAGUGUUGUGUUGGAUUUCUUCUGACGCUGAUGGAGUGAGCACAUGCCGGAGGUUGCCUGUGGGUUUCCCAUCCCUUCUACAAAUGAAUUGGGCUGGGAGGGGUGCAGGGUGGCUCCUCCAGCCAGAAUGGAGUGAAGAGCUGCUCUUCCGCUCCGCCAUCUGGGUAAAGCUGAACAACCGUGGCCGAGCCUAGUCUUGAGCCUUAGUCAAAGGAUCUGUGGUUGGAUAAUCCCCCAAAUAGUUGAAAGCUGUUUAAGGCUCAAGAAAACACUAAAAGGGGAUUGCAUUCAUUUCUCAGAGCAAAGCUUACACAAAUCUCUCCCUAAGGAGGACCAGCUACAUAAUUUGCGGAGCCCAGUGCAAAGUGAAAAUGCAGAGCCCUUUAUUUAAAAAUUAUAAGAAUUUCCAGAGAGCAACAGCAGAGCAUUAAACAAGGUGCAGAGCCCUUUGGAGGCUGGGCCCUGUGUGAUUGCACAGGGUGCAUGCCCAGGAAACCAGUGGUGCCCUGGGCUUCUAUCUCAUCACCAGCAUCCUCUCUCUCUCUCUCUCUCUCAGACACAAGGGGGCUACCUCAAGUAUCUGUCCUCUCCUUCUUCCAAGUGUCCCCCACAUUCUUUCCCAAGCCAGUUCUGCAGAAACCUACCUAGUCUUUCUCUAUAUGACUCCAUCUCCGUGUGUUAUCCCAUAGCUCCACUUGGCCUCUUGCCUCCUUCACUCUCCCCUAUUUACCUGGCCCAGAUUCAGUGCUAUAAAGAAUAUUGCAGCUCAUGAGAUCUAGUCUUCCUUAUAGGCAGAGGCAUGAGGGAGAGGUUUAGAACACUUAAGUAUAUCUGUUAGUACUUUAUUUAUUCAUAUGUGUUCAUUAUUGACAUGUAUCAUUUGUUAUCAAGUGUUGGCGGUUAUUUGCCAUCCAUAAAAUGCAACUGCUUUCUAGCUCUGAGAAUUUCUGUUCUAAAGUAGGCAACAAAGAUGAUGAUAGAUAGAUAGCAGCUAUUAUGCACCCACUAUGUGCUUGCUAGUAAAGGUCCUGAACCUUUUACACACAUUAGCUCCUUUAGUCCUCCCUGCCAUGUGAGGGAUUUAUUAAUAUUAUUUCCAUGUGUGCAUGAGGAACUGGAGCUUAGAGAGGCUGUGGACUUGUCCUCUUUCACAGCCCCACCAUCUGGUUCUCCAGCUUGGGUUCUUGGUCCUAUCAAGCUAUGCUGCAAACAAAUGAGAAUGAUUAGCUGUUCUCCCCACACUGCCUCUCUGCCAGGCAUAAAUAGAUUCUUAAUUAAUAUUUGCUGAAUAAAUGAAUGUGUUAGUUAUUAGGUAAGACAAGGAGAUGAAGAUGAAAACAUAUAAAAUAGAAAAGAAUAGGCUAAUUCUGGUCAGAGAACUGUGUACAAGUUCCAGUAAUUCCUUAAUUCUCUUGUUCGUGGAGAUUUAAGUAGCAAUUGCUGAACAUCCCCUUCUGUUUGGGGGAUCAGAGGCCUGGUCCAGUUCAUCUUUAGAUUCCCCACAGGCCUCACAUGGCACCAACUAGCUGCUCAACUAAUUCCCUUAAUUGAAUUAAUUUGAAUUGAAUGGAAUUAAAUUGAAUCAGAACUUUUUUUGUAAGAAGCUGGCUUUAAGCAGAGAGAGAUUUAAAUGUAGAUUAAACAGGCUCAAUCACUCUUUAGAAGUACACAAAAUAACUGUGAACAGACCCCAAACAACUUCAGAUACCAAGCCUUCCAUAAAAGCUUCCAAGCCUCCAGGUACCUGGCCUGAGCUUGCUCAUUUUCCAACAGUGAUUAAGGGGUUACAUGAAGUCUUUAAAUUCUGCCACACUCCCAUGAAUGGGUAUUAAAUAAUAUUCCUUUAAGCUACCGGAACUGCUGCAUGGGGAUUCUGCCUCAUCUUUAUGGAUGCGUUGUCAUAAUUUCUAGAAUUAUAGAACUCAACUCAUACCUCCAUAUAUCCCAAGGAAACAAUAUAAGAAGUUUUUCUUCCCUCUCAGCUCAGAGCAUAUAAAAUGAUCUCUCACUACUCUGAAUUAGAGCAGAUGAAUUUAAAGACACUUUCUUGAAUAAACCUCUGGGUUGGGCUUAGGGGAUAAGUUCACUGUUCUGGCAGGCCUCUGUUUCCAAGGAAAACACAAAGGUGAGAAUGUUGUGCACCGAGACUGAGAUGUUCCACACACCACUGGCUGCCUUACCUCUUGCCCCAAACAGCACAAGGAGAGGGAGACAGUAUUGCUCUCAAAAGCUGGUAGUUGGAGGCAUCCCCUCCCCUCUAUUUCUUCCCCUGCCCAUACCCUGUUCCUUGGCCCCCACCCCUUGUAAUUCACAAAGCAAGAUCCAAACCAGGUUCUAACAUAGUCCUGUAAGAUGGGAGCAGCAGUCAUCUUGGUCACCACUCACCCCAUACAAACACACUGUCCAAGAUACAGAAACCAAAGUACAGCUCAGGUAAGUAGCACUAUGGUCUCACACCAGGCACUGUCAAAGUGCAGGGAUUCACACCUCAAAUGUUUCAGUCACUAUUCAGUAAGUUGAGAUUUUUUCCAAUUGGACCCUCAGGCUCACAUCCCCAAAUCCCUAGACAAACCCAGUAAAGACAUAGGAACCUGCAUCAUUAUUGUGUCUCCCAAUUAUUGAGAGCUUACUAUCUGCAAGGAUAAGUAGCAUGCUCAAGGUUCUGUGGACAGCUCAAGAUCCCAUGCAAAGUCCAAGGUCCCAUGGGCAGCUCCAGGUCCCAUGUAUAGCAGGAGGCAAAAACGGAACUGGAGCCCAGGUCCAUCUGACCCCAAGGGCAUAUAUAAAAGCACUGAAGUAUGUUGCCUUUCUAUAGAAACAUUAACCCUUCAGCAGAUAGCUGUUGAAUGAUUGUAGAUGAAACUGAUCUUGGAGGAGAGAGAGUAGAGCAAUCAUUUACAAAGAAAAAGGGAACUGAUCCAUGGGUUGGUCUAUCCUAAGGGCUCUGUUCAUGCCCCAACUUCCAGAAUGGGGAGUCCAGGCACCUCCUGGUGCUUCCCUCCUUCAACCAGGUGUGCGUGUGCACACACAUCCACACAAACACACCCCAGAACUCCAAAGAAGGUUUUACAAAUUAUUUACUUCAACCUUUACUGAGUCUAAAGAAUACUAAGGCUUUGGGUAUAGUGCCCAGCCUCUAAGGAUUUUUAGGGCAUCCCUGCAGGGCCAACACUUCAGCUAUAGAACCUCUCAUUCACAUUCUCUUCCCAUCUCCAAACAUCCCUCUUUCCUUCCAGCUCCUUUUUUUCCUCCACCCUAAUACCACUUCCACUUUGUGGGUUGGCAGUCAUUCUCUCUUCUACCCAGUUCUGUUCCUAAGGAGAGGGAAACUUCAAAUCAUGAGGAUGAAAAAAGGGAUAGAGGCUCUGGGUAGAUUAUUUUUUAUUAUUAUUAUACUUUAAGUUUUAGGGUACAUGUGCACAAUGUGCAGGUUUGUUACAUGUAUAUACAUGUGCCAUGUUGGUGUGCUGCACCCAGUAACUCAUCAUUUAAUAUUAGGUAUAUCUCCUAAUGCUAUCCCUCCCAACUCCCC